CCCUUAGAUGUUCUGGGCCGCACGCGCGCUACACUGAUGCAUUCAACGAGUCUAAAACCUGCUCUGAUAGGGGUGGGUAAUCUUUUGAAUGUGCAUCGUGAUUGGGAUAGAUGAUUGCAAUUUUUCAUCUUCAACGAGGAAUGCCUAGUAAACGCAAGUCAUCAGCUUGCAUUGAUUACGUCCCGGCCCUUUGUACACACCGCCCGUCGCUCCUACCGAUUGAAUGAUCCGAUGAAUAUCAUGGAUUGAGGAUGCAAGUAGGUUCGCCUAUCUUCAUCUUCGAGAAGUGAAGUAAAUCUUAUCAUUUAGAGGAAGGAGAAGUCGUAACA
rnacentral:rRNA from 1 species